UCCGGCUUCUUCACCUGCGGGAUCGUCCCAAGUGGGUGGGCCUAUGCCCUCCAAGGCCCACCCAUGGCUGCUCCCCUGCCAAGUCAUGUGAAAUCCAUAGAUUAAGACCAAAUGAACUUAUUUAAAUUGACUUUGAAACUGUUGCAUUUUGCAUUUAUAUUUUUGUUCAGUGUAGUUAAAUAUACUUGACAUAAUAGUUAUGUCUUAGAAGGCUUCUUGAUAAUCAUGCUUUGGUGGUUUUUAUUAGACCUGUUAUGUAUUUUACACAAACGCACAAUUUUGCAACCAAAACACACUCCUCAUAAAACUUUUUUUUUCAUGUCUUGGCCAUAAUUAUGCAUGGCACAUACAUGGAAUGUAUCUUUAUAGGCACUAAGCCUAUUCAUAAUACAAAAGUGUGUUUUAUAGUGUGACUAUAGGCCACUUUUGAGAUAAUUUGGGCAUUAUGAAGUUGAAAUCGAAUUGACCGAAAUCAAUUUAGAAAGUCCACUUUUAUGUCUUCAGACACCGUUACAUUGCUGAAAUGUGCAAAUUGGAGACUUAAUAGCCUAAUAAUUCUUGAUGAAACUGGGUGUAUUCAGAGAGGAAGAGGCUAAGUGAUGGGUUUUACUCUACCCAAAUCUGUUCACGAAGUGAGGAAUUUCUGUGUGGAAGUCAAUGAGCUUCAAAAUGAUUCAACAAAACAUUUAAUUGGUAAUUUGCUAUGUGAGAAUUAUUUGAUCGAAUAGAAGUUUGGAAAUGGUUAGGUUGUUAUGAAUGCACUGAUAUAAGUGGACGCAGGUAUUGGAGUCUGUUGUCUUAGAGAUAAAUUGAGGACUCAUCACGGAUAUGGGGCGUUAGCCUAGUGUUGGACUUUCAACCGAAAGGUUGUAAGUUCAAACCCCCGAGCUGACAAGGUACAAAUCUGUUGUUCUGAACAGACAGUUAACCCACUGUUCCUAGGCUGUCAUUGAAAAUAAGAAUUUGUUCUUUAACUGACUUGCCUAGUAAAAUUAAGGUAAAAAAAAAAUAUAUAUAUAACCAGUUUUAGCAUGGACAUUGCCAUUGAGGACUUACACCAUUUUAAAGUAGUCAACUGGGUGGGGAUUGCUAUGAGUUGGGAGCAAUCAGCCAAUGAAGAAGAAGAAAAUGGAGAUGGUGUAAAUGGCACUGCCCAUGCUGUCACAGAUGCUAUGAUGGCACAGAUACAAUGAGUCCUAUUCUGUUGGUCACACACCUAUCUGCCCAUUCAUUGGUCCCACCUGAUCUCGCCGGUCACUUAACUAUAACUAUGUCACUAUAAUAGACAAUCUUUGGUGUAGUGUGAUUUUGGUAUGGUUACUAUCUGGGAUCCUUGGGGCGUCCAUACCGUAACCCUAACCUUACUUUCUACUUUUCCUAAAUCUAAACCCGUUCAAUUUCAACGGGGAAACGUCAGACAUGGGAAGUCCCAAGGAUUAGUGCCUGUGUGACGUAAGCUCAGACUGCGCAUGUCAAUAAAGACCAACUGGAAGUCAUUUUCUCUCUCUCUCUGGAAGAAGAACGCAGGAGGACGCAUGGAGUCUACGUGCGCUCUCACCAAGAUUACUUUUAUGACAAAUACUUGUUGAAAUGUCCGUUUAUUCAACCGUUGGCUGGGGAUUAAUGGUUCCAGACAUGCAUACGGGCUUAUUUGUUGCACUCAAGGUUCUGUCAGGAAUCGAUGGUGCUGGAUGCAUUACUGUGGUACCGAGACUUGAUGGACUGGCAGGGUGCUGGAGAUGCUGUAGGACACAUAUGUCAGAGUCAAGGCCCGCGGGCCACAUCCGGCCCGCGAGAAGGUUUUUUACGGCCCCUGGGAUGGUCUUGAUUUAUUAUUAGAACCGGCCCGCAGCAAGCCGGCAGCCCGCAGAUCUUUUACACGCACCAAUACUACAUUUCCCACAAUGCAACGGUGACGCACCGAGCAGUAGGCUGCUUCAUUUCAAUAUUUAUUGGCACAGCAGUUGUCAGCAUCACAGUAAAAUUAACUUUCAGAUACCCAUCAAAAAUGGCAAAACGGAAGGUGGACACUGAGAACCGGGGGUUUCAAACAAGGUGGGAGUCGGAGUAUUUGUUCACGGACAUGGAACAAAGGCUACAAAAGGCAGAGGAAUUAAAACGAGGCCUCAAAUCUCGACAGGCUCUGUUCAAAAAGCCAAAUCACAAGGCCAGGCUGCUGUCAAGGCCAGUUUUAUUUUGGCAGAAGAGAUCGCUAAAUCAGCCCGGCCAUUUACGGAGGGGGAUUUCAUCAAAAACUGCAUGAUUAAAGUUUGUGACGAAGUUUGCCCAGAAAAAAGGCAACUCUUUUUAAAUGUGAGUCUGAGCAGAAACACCAUUGCCGAGAGAGUAGACCAGUUGUCCAUCAAUCUAAAAGAGCAGCUUGUGAAAAAGGGAAAAGAUUUCAUUGCAUAUUCCUUGGCUGUGGAUGAGAGCACCGACAUUUCUGACAUUGCCCAGUUGUCAAUUUUCAUCCGCGGAGUGGACUCCAGCCUAAGCGUGACAGAGGAGUUUUUGGCUUUACGUCCUAUGCAUGGCACAACUACGGGGCAUGAUUUGUAUGAAGAGGUGUCAAGAUGUGUAAAUGAGAUGGAGCUGCCUUGGGAAAAACUCGUGGGUUUGACAACCGACGGAGCACCUGCGAUGUGUGGACACAGGAGCGGACUGGUGGCGAAGAUACGGGAAAAGAUGCAAGAGGAAAACGCGACAGAUUUGAUUGGCUCGCAUGUGGACUGGAGACUCUGAAGAAGUAAAUCUUGCCCUGUGAUUUGAUUGGCUCGCAUGUGGACUGGAGACUCUGAAGAAGUAAAUCUUGCCCUGUGAUUUGAUUGGCUCGCAUGUGGACUGGAGACUCUGAAGAAGUAAAUCUUGCCCUGUGAUUGAUGGUCCAGUAUGUGGGGUAUGAAGAUCUAUAUCUCAACCCUGUGGUUUGUUGGACCUGCAGUGGAUGAGUGUCUUAUGGUGAGUUCCUUCCUGGUUUCAGGUGUCCACUUUGAACUGUUCAGCCAUUUUACUGGAAUUGUGAUCCCUUUUCUGACACGCUUCUGCUGAUUUACCCUCCUGAAAAGCCAUUAAUCUGAAUUACCAGCACUAUAAACUAUUGUAGAAUGUUAAAGUAGUUGUUGCCAGCAAGUCUCUUUUAAUUUAUCUAGGCAUUAGUCUUAAUUACAGUUGAUUAUCAAUUAAGAAACUGGUAUGCGACCAUGUCUAAAUAAAGUCUAAUGAUUUUUUUGCCCUGAUUUUUAUUCUGCCCUGUUCAUUGAUACAUGUUAAUAAACUUUUACAGUACA